AGGUUUAUAUAUCUGUGGAAUGUCCAGGGUGGGGGAAAGAACUCUUGUCUGCCUGAGGCAAGUGUGAAUGUUGCAACUGGCCACUUUGAUAAGCAUUGAAUAGCCUGGCAGCUUCAAAGCCUGGUUGCUUCCUGCCUGGGGGCAUUCUUUCUUGGGAAGUGUUAGCUGGCCCUGAUUGUUUCCUGUUUCCUGUCUGGAAUUCCCCUGUUUUCAGAGAAUUGUUCUUUAAUAACUGUCCUGAUUUUAGAGGGUUUUUUUUUAAUACUGGUAGCCAGAUUUUGUUCAUUGUCAUGGUUUCCUCCUUUCUGCUGAAAUUGUCCACAAGGUGGGAAAGUAAAAGUUGAGAAUGUAUCUUAUACUCAGUGCUUUGAAAUGUUAUGUUUUUUUUACUACAACUUCCAGACUCCUCCAGCUAGCCUUAGAGAUUAUGGGAACUAUAGUCAAAACAUAUAUAUUUCCCAAACUCUGGCUUGGGAAGUCCCUACCCUGUAUCUCCAAAAAUUUGACAGAGUCAUAUAUUAAUUUUUACUCCAAAAGAUAUGCUAGGGCUAGUGUAUACCAAGGGAUGUGUGUCAUGACUCCUGCCUCCCAUGACGUGUGCUGGCUAGACACCCAGUUGCGUGAUUCCCAGAGACCACAAAUGAGUAGGACAGGCUGCUUACCUGUAACUAUUUCUUUGCAUGGCCAUCUGUGAAUUCACACAACACAUCCUCCCUGUGUAAGGGUAAUGCCACCUCAGGUCGUAAUACAGGCUGCAGCUCUGGCCUAGGAGCAGAGGGGUUUUGGCAGUAGUAACUGGGUCUGACAGAGCCUUGGGAGGUGGGCGGGGUUACCCUCAGAUCUAUCCACUAUCUGCUUAGUGAUUCUAGAAGGUUCCAAACAGUGCUCUGUGCAGGCACAGAAUACCCAGUUGUGUGAAUUCACAGAUGACCAUUCGAAGAAAUACAGUUACAGAUUUCUCAGCAUGGAGAAGUGGUUUAGACUGAGAUUAGGCUUGGCUGAAGGUAACUUUCCAGCUGCACCCAAGCUCAUCCAACUGGCUUAUAUCUAUUUGUGUGGCUUCUUCCUUGCGAUGAUUGGUUGAGUCCUGUGCCUGAGAGCAGAGGAAUGGAGAGUGGCAUCCCAUGCCUGGCACCAGCGCUGACAAGAUCUGGGUUGGGAUCUGAGGAGACUGUUUCCUGGAACCUCUUCCUGAUCCCACAAAGCAAUGCCUGGAGUUCCUGGAUGAACACUGGUUCCUCCCAAAGGAGAUUUUCUUUGCACAAGACUUAAUGUCUUUAGCUUGUAUUGUAGUAUCUUUAGCUCUAGCUUUCAUGUCCUUUGCCUUAUGGAACCUUUUUCACAAAGUAAGUCUGAAGAAUUAUUUGCUUAUUUUUUCUGGGUUGGGGGAGUUCUCAGUUUACCGUCUGGUGUCACUAUUCUUAUCCUACUUUUGUGGAAUAUGUAUUCUGUAUUAGUCCAUGAAAGUAUUCAUUUCCCCAGUGAUUUUCGUUUGCCUACACUUCCAUAUGAGCAGAAUAUUGGUUUUGCCAUCUAUGUGGGGAUUUCUGCUUCAGGAUUCCAGUUAACAAGUUCAUUAUUUAUUCUCAGUGAUAAAUUUUGGAUUAGGCCCAAUAUAGGCCAUUCUAUCAUAGUCACUCCGAAGCAAUCCACCAGUAACAGUGACACUGAAACCUGUCCCCAUUGUUGAUCGUCUAUAUCUCUUGAGGAACUAUCUGAAUAACAACUUUUUAAUAUUUAAAGGGGUGUAAAUAUUUUAAAUAGCUGCUUUUAUUAUGUGUUGAUUCCAAAAAUUACUUUAAACUGUUUCUGUUUUCACUUUGUGUUCAAAAUAUGUUUAAAUGUAGAAUAGUUUUUAACUCAAUAAAUUAAAAAUUGUGGCCAAGUG